rnacentral:lncRNA from 1 species
AGGGAUCCAGUUUCAGCUUUCUACAUAUGGCUAGCCAGUUUUCCCAGCACCUCCCAGCACCAUUUAUUGAAUAGGGAAUCCUUUCCCAAUUGCUUUUGUCAGGUUUGUCAAAGAUCAGACAGUUGUAGCUGUGCAGUCUUAUUUCUGGGUUCUCUAUUCUGUUCCAUUGGUCUAUGUAUCUGUUUUUGUACUGGUACCACACUGUGUAGCCUUGUAGCAUUGUUCGAAGAUGGGUAGCAUGAUGCCUUCAG